GCCUCCAUGGUCUAGUGGCCUAGGACACCGCCCUCUCACGGCGGCAACAGGGGUUCGAAUCCCCUUGGAGGUGCCA
rnacentral:tRNA from 2 species